rnacentral:rRNA from 1 species
AAACUCCAACCCAAUGUGAACGUUACCAAACUGUUGCCUCGGCGGGGUCACGCCCCGGGUGCGUAAAAGCCCCGGAACCAGGCGCCCGCCGGAGGAACCAACCAAACUCUUUCUGUAGUCCCCUCGCGGACGUAUUUCUUACAGCUCUGAGCAAAAAUUCAAAAUGAAUCAAAACUUUCAACAACGGAUCUCUUGGUUCUGGCWUCGAUGAAGAACGCAGCGAAAUGCGAUAAGUAAUGUGAAUUGCAGAAUUCAGUGAAUCAUCGAAUCUUUGAACGCACAUUGCGCCCGCCAGUAUUCUGGCGGGCAUGCCUGUCCGAGCGUCAUUUCAACCCUCGAACCCCUCCGGGGGAUCGGCGUUGGGGAUCGGGACCCCUCACCGGGUGCCGGCCCUGAAAUACAGUGGCGGUCUCGCCGCAGCCUCUCCUGCGCAGUAGUUUGCACAACUCGCACCGGGAGCGCGGCGCGUCCACGUCCGUAA